rnacentral:rRNA from 1 species
UACGGGGGGGGGCAAGCGUUGUUCGGAAUUACUGGGCGUAAAGGGCGCGUAGGCGGUGCUCUAAGUUAGAUGUGAAAACUCUGGGCUCAACCCAGAGCCUGCAUCUAAAACUGGAGUGCUAGAGUUCUGGAGGGGGUAGCGGAAUUCCUGGUGUAGCGGUGAAAUGCGUAGAUAUCAGGAGGAACACCGGUGGCGAAGGCGGCUACCUGGACAGAAACUGACGCUGAGGCGCGAAAGCUAGGGGAGCAAACAGG